GCGCGGGUGGCUUAGUCGGUUAGAGCACCCGGCUGAUAACCGGGAG
rnacentral:tRNA from 1 species